rnacentral:rRNA from 1 species
AGUGAACGCUGGCGGUAGGCCUAACACAUGCAAGUCGAACGGCAGCACAGUAAGAGCUUGCUCUUACGGGUGGCGAGUGGCGGACGGGUGUGGAAUACAUCGGAAUCUACUUUUUCGUGGGGGAUAACGUAGGGAAACUUACGCUAAUACCGCAUACGACCUACGGGUGAAAGCAGGGGAUCUUCGGACCUUGCGCGAUUGAAUGAGCCGAUGUCGGAUUAGCUAGUUGGCGGGGUAAAGGCCCACCAAGGCGACGAUCCGUAGCUGGUCUGAGAGGAUGAUCAGCCACACUGGAACUGAGACACGGUCCAGACUCCUACGGGAGGCAGCAGUGGGGAAUAUUGGACAAAGGGCGCAAGCCUGAUCCAGCCAUACCGCGUGGGUGAAGAAGGCCUUCGGGUUGUAAAGCCCUUUUGUUGGGAAAGAAAAGCAGCAGGUUAAUACCCCGCUGUUCUGACGGUACCCAAAGAAUAAGCACCGGCUAACUUCGUG